rnacentral:rRNA from 1 species
GUCUCAGGCCGGAUCAGCCUGAAGGCGCCCGAUCUCGUCUGAUCUCGGAAGCUAAGCAGGGUCGGGCCUGGUUAGUAUCUUGGGAUGGGAGACCACCUGGGAAUCCCGGGUGCUCGAGGCU